rnacentral:rRNA from 1 species
ACCCGCUGAACUUAAGCAUAUCAAUAGGCGGAGGAAAAGAAAAUAACAAUGAUUCCCCUAGUAACGGCGAGUGAAGUGGGAAAAGCUCAAAGUUGGAACCUGGUGGGCAUAGCUCACCCGGAUUGUAAACUAAAGUUUUUGAGUCGCUUAGUCAGCCAGGUAAAUAAGUCCUCUGGAAAGGGGCGACAUAGAGGGUGAAAUCCCCGUCUUUGGCCUGAGUUUUGGUUAGGCGUUUGGCUUGGAAACGAAGAGUCAGGUUGUUUGGGAAUGCAGCCUAAAAUGGGAGGUAAAUCUCUCCUAAAGCUAAAUAUUGACGAAAGACCGAUAGCGAACAAGUACCGUGAGGGAAAGAUGAAAAGCACUUUGAAAAGAGGGUCAAAAAGUACGUGAAAUUGCCGAAAGGGAACCGUAUGAAAUCAGACCUACUGGUAGGUAAUCAAUCUUUCCCUUGGGAAGGAUGCACUUGCCUGCUAUGUAUGCCAGCGACAUUUUGGUUGGGAGGAAAAAAAUAGAGGGAAUGUAGCCUAGGCUUCGGUUUAGGUGUUAUAGACUUUUAUAAAAUACUCUCGGCUGGAAUGAGGAACGCAGCAAACCGUAAGGCGAAGAUUCUAGUCGCUUGGGGGGAAUAAUUAGAGAAUUUCUGCUUCGGGUGGUGCUUUGAUUAUUACUUUCAACUCGGUUGGAGUUCUUUUAAUUUGCUUAGGUUGUUGGCUUAAUGAUUUUAUAUGACCCGUCUUGAAACACGGACC